CAGAUAAAGAUUUAUCGCUUUGAGAGGGCCCGCGGCCGAUUAGCUAGUGGUAAGGUAAAGGACUUACCAAGGCGAUUAUCGGUAGCUGGUCUGAGAGGACGAUCAGCCACACGGGAACUGAGACACGGUCCCGACUCCUACGGGGGGCAGCAGUGAGGAAUAUUGGGCAAUGGGCGAAAGCCUGACCCAGCAACGCCGCGUGGAGGAUGAAGGCUUUAGGGUUGUAAACUCCUUUUGUGGGGGAAAAGAAUGGAUGGUACCCCAAGAAUAAGUCACGGCUAACUACGUGCCAGCAGCCGCGGUAAUACGUAGGUGACAAGCGUUAUCCGGAAUUACUGGGCGUAAAGCGCACGCAGGCGGUCAGAUAAGUCUGAUGUGAAACCUUCUGGCUUAACCAGAAGACGUCGUUGGAUACUGUUUGACUUGAGGCGAUGAGAGGAAUGCGGAAUCCCCCGGUGUAAUGGUGGAAUAUGUAGAUAUCGGGGGGAACAUCUGAGGCG
rnacentral:rRNA from 1 species